CCUACGGGAGGCAGCAGUGGGGAAUCUUCCGCAAUGGGCGAAAGCCUGACGGAGCAACGCCGCGUGAUCGAAUGAAGGCCUUCGGGUUGUAAAGAUCUGUUGACAGGGACGAAUAAGCAAUGCAAAUAGUUUUGUGUAUGACGGUACCUGUUUAGAAAGCUCCGGCUAACUACGUGCCAGCAGCCGCGGUAAUACAUAGGGAGCAAGCGUUGUCCGGAAUUACUGGGCGUAAAGGGCGCGUAGGUGGGCGCUUAAGUCAGGUGUGAAAACUCCGGGCUCAACCUGGAGACUGCACUUGAAACUGGGUGUCUUGAGGGCAGUAGAGGUAAGUGGAAUUCGUGGUGUAGGGGUGAAAGGAGUAGAUAUUAGGAGGAACACCAGUGGCGAAGGCGACUUUCGGGACUUUACCUGACGCUGAGGCGCGAAAGCGUGGGUAGCGAACGGGAUUAGAGACCCUUGUAGUC
rnacentral:rRNA from 1 species